AUUUAAUGAUGAGUACAUUGAAUGCACAAUUGCUCAAAUCUUUCCUAAUACUCGAAGAGUGUCUCUCCAUGAUAUUGUUGAAUCCCACAUAUAUAUUUCAUUAUGUU
rnacentral:sRNA from 1 species